AUCCGCUCGCCUCAGCCUCCCAAAGUGCUGGGAUUAUAGGCGUGAGUCACCGCACCUGACCCAAGUCCAGAAUUUUCAACAGGACAUGGGUGUUACUGUGCCCACGUGACAUUUGGGGAACCCAAGGCCCGGAAAAAGGCAGAAAAAUAACCCAUGCAGGGGCUGUCAGCCCACAAGUGAAGCUGAGAACCAGGAAUGGAAAACAGGAAGGCAGCACAGAGGCAGGAAGCCCAGGUGUCACAGUUUGGCUCAGUGUCAUGCGCCAAUCAUAGGACAAGCGAGAACUUGUGCCCAGUGGUGACUUAUGACAUCAUGAAGGCUCACCUCUUUUGCCAGGU